CCUCGAAGUCGGGAUAGCCUUGGGAAACGAGAUUAUACCGGAUGUGGUGUUUUCCGCAUGGUUUACAGCUGAAGUUUUUCGCUUCGAGAUGGGCUCGCGUCCCAUCAGCUAGUUGGUGAGGUAACGGCUCACCAAGGCAGCGACGGAUAGGUGGUCUGAGAGGAUGGUCACCCACACUGGGACUGAGACACUGCCCAGACUCCUACGGGAGGCUGCAGUCGAGAAUCUUCCGCAAUGCGCGAAAGCGUGACGGAGCGAUGCCGCGUGCCGGAUGAAGGCCUUCGGGUCGUAAACGGCUGUCACCCGGAACGAAUAUUGACGGUACCGGGAGAGGAAGCCACGGCUAACUACGUGCCAGCAGCCGCGGUAAUACGUAGGUGGCUAGCGUUAUUCGGAUUUAUUGGGCGUAAAGGGUUCGUAGGGGGCCGAGUAAGUCUGAUGUGAAAUCCAACGGCUCAACCGUUGAACUGCAUUGGAUACUGCCCGGCUAGAGUACUGGAGAGGUAAGCAGAAUUCCUGGUGUAGCGGUGGAAUGCGUAGAUAUCAGGAGGAAUACCGACGGCGAAGGCAGCUUACUGGACAGUUACUGACCCUCAUGAACGAAAGCUAGGGGAGCAAACAGGAUUAGAUACCCUGGUAGUCCUAGCUGUAAACGUUGUUCACUAGAUGUAGGCGGAUUGGUCCCGUCUGUGUCCAAGCUAACGUGAUAAGUGAACCGCCUGGGGAGUACGGCCGCAAGGCUAAAACUCAAAGGAAUUGACGGGGGCCCGCACAAGCGGUGGAGCAUGUGGCUUAAUUCGAGGCAACGCGAAGAACCUUACCUGGGUUUGACAUAUAUCUGACCGCCAUGGAAACAUGGUUUCUCUUCGAAGCGGAUAUACAGAUGCUGCAUGGCUGUCGUCAGCUCGUGCCGUGAGGUGUUCGGUUAAGUCCGGCAACGAGCGCAACCCGUGCUGCUAGUUACCAGCGAGUAAUGUCGGGGACUCUAGCAGGACUGCCCGUGCUGAGCGGGAGCGAAGGCGCGGACGACGUCAAGUCAGUAUGGCUCUUACACCCAGGGCUGCACACGUGCUACAAUGACCGGUACAAUGGGAUGCCACUCUGCGA
rnacentral:rRNA from 1 species